rnacentral:rRNA from 1 species
GGAGGGUGCAAGCAUUAAUCGGAUUUAUUGGGCGUAAAGGGCGCGUAGGUGGUAUAUCAAGUCAUAUGUGAAAUUCCAAGGCUCAACCUUGGAGCUGCAUGUGAAACUGAUAUUCUAGAGGUAAGGCGGAGAAAACGGAAUUUCCCGUGUAGCGGUGAAAUGCGUGGAUAUGGGAAGGAACACCGGUGGCGAAGGCGGUUUUCUAGCCUUUACCUGACACUGAGGCGCGAAAGCGAGGGGAGCAAACAGGGAUUAGAUACCCUGGUAGUCCUCGCUGUAAACGUUGCAUACUUGAUGUGAUUGGGCUCAACCCCCCCCCCAAUUGUGUCGGAGCUAACGCGAUAAGUAUGCCGCCUGGGAGUACGCUCGCAAGGGUG